rnacentral:pre_miRNA from 1 species
AGUGAGCACUGCAGCCAAGGAUGACUUGCCGGCAAAUCCUCUCCCUAUUUUCCGGCAAGUUGUCUUCGGCUACAUUUCGCUCUCU